UGGGGAAUUUUGGACAAUGGGGGCAACCCUGAUCCAGCCAUGCCGCGUGCGGGAAGAAGGCCUUCGGGUUGUAAACCGCUUUUGUCAGGGAAGAAAUCCCUUGGGCUAAUACCCCGAGGGGAUGACGGUACCUGACGAAUAAGCACCGGCUAACUACGUGCCAGCAGCCGCGGUAAUACGUAGGGUGCGAGCGUUAAUCGGAAUUACUGGGCGUAAAGCGUGCGCAGGCGGUCGUGCAAGACAGAUGUGAAAUCCCCGGGCUCAACCUGGGAACUGCAUUUGUGACUGCACGGCUGGAGUGCGGCAGAGGGGGAUGGAAUUCCGCGUGUAGCAGUGAAAUGCGUAGAUAUGCGGAGGAACACCGAUGGCGAAGGCAAUCCCCUGGGCCUGCACUGACGCUCAUGCACGAAAGCGUGGGGAACAAA
rnacentral:rRNA from 1 species